rnacentral:rRNA from 1 species
UACGUAGGGUGCAAGCGUUGUCCGGAAUUAUUGGGCGUAAAGAGCUCGUAGGCGGUUUGUCGCGUCUGCUGUGAAAACUCGGGGCUUAACUCCGGGCCUGCAGUGGGUACGGGCAGACUAGAGUGCGGUAGGGGAGACUGGAAUUCCUGGUGUAGCGGUGAAAUGCGCAGAUAUCAGGGGGAACACCGGUGGCGAAGGCGGGUCUCUGGGCCGUAACUGACGCUGAGACACGAAAGCGUGGGUAGCAAACAGG